rnacentral:rRNA from 1 species
GCGAGCGAAAAGGGAAAAGCCCAGCGCCGAAUCUCUUGUCCUCCGGGCAAGAAGACAUGUGGCGUUUGGGACGAGGCUUUGCCUGUGCAGAAUGGUCAUCUAAGUCCCUCUUGAACGGGGCCAUAGCCCAUGGAGGGUGCUAGGCCCGUAUGAUGACUUUAUUGUGCAGUGCGUCUCGUCCGUAGAGUCGGGUUGCUUGGGAGUGCAGCCCAAAUCAGGUGGUAAACUCCAUCUAAGGCUAAAUAUGACCACGAGACCGAUAGCGAACAAGUACCGUGAGGGAAAGUUGAAAAGAACUUUGAAGAGAGAGUUAAAAAGUACGUGAAACCUCUCGGGGGUAAGCGGGCAGAACUUGCAAGUAUUGGCUGGGAACAUUCAGGCUUAGUGUCGGUGGCUUGUGGCGCUCGUCUUGUUGCUCUUUCGGGAGUUGCUGGCGUGUGCUGCUUGUUCUGCUGAUGCUGCGCCGCAUUUGUUCCUGUCAUCGGGUUGCAUGCGACUUAUUGGCAGUUUAGGUGCUGGGUUCCUGCAAAUCCUUGUGGUUUGAGUCCUGGUUUCCAACUGCUGAUGUGGUCGUUGAAAUUACGAGCAGGCGUUUAUCGCGGUCAAUGAGUUUCACGAGUUUGGUGCUUAUGAUAUGUGGACGGGUAACCGUAGCAUGUUGUCUGUACUGGCUGUCAGUGAGGUUCAAUAUUUGGCACUGCUCUGAUUGCAAUCUAAAGCAUGCGUGGUCUGCCUGUCCCGUCUUGAAA